rnacentral:rRNA from 1 species
UACGUAGGGGGCAAGCGUUGUCCGGAUUCAUUGGGCGUAAAGAGCUCGUAGGCGGUUCGGCAAGUCGGGUGUGAAACCUCCAGGCUCAACCUGGAGACGCCACCCGAUACUGCUGUGACUUGAGUCCGGUAGGGGACCACGGAAUUCCUGGUGUAGCGGUGAAAUGCGCAGAUAUCAGGAGGAACACCGGUGGCGAAGGCGGCUCUCUGGAACGCAACUGACGCUGAGACGCGAAAGCGUGGGGAGCAAACAGG